CCGGUUGCGCCGACUCUCGCGCGCGCACACGCGCACUCGCCGCAGCCGCACAGGAGAGCCGCGCUUGAAUCUCUCUCGCCUCGUUAAAGAGGGAUCCGCCUGUGCGCGGUUUGCACACAGACCGCGAGCGCAUCUGCGUGCGUUAAUGCGAGGAAACGCUCCGCGUGGAAACAAAAUAAAAAAAAUCCUGCGUGGGUGGGCGGAUAGACGGAAGAGCGAGGAGGAGGAGGAGGAGGAGAGGUGCGCAGGAGCUCCAUGGAAAACGCACGUUAUGGCCACCGCAUAAGAAUCCAUCGCGACGGCCGUGUAGGGUGUGAAAAUAAAGUGGGAGUGUGAGAGGAGGAACCGAACGGAAAGAAGCGGGAUCUACAAUGGCAGCAGAAGAGAAGCCUACUGUGAAGAGCAGUAGCUCCAUUGUACCAUGUUUCCUAUUUGUGGAGCUGGUGAUCAUGGCAGGCACCGUUCUCCUGGCGUACUACUUCGAGUACACGGACACCUUCCCCGUGCACAUCCAGGGCUUCUUCUGCUUCGACAAGGCGUUCUCCAAACCGUACCCCGGACCCGAGGAGCGCAGCAACGUACCGCCGGUGCUCGUGUACUCUCUGGUAGCCGCUAUCCCAACUAUAACCAUUCUGGCCGGCGAGGUAAUGGUGUUUUUCAUGAGGUCAGAGAGCACGCAGGAGAAGACCAUAGUCACAGCCGACUGCUGUUACUUCAACCCUCUGCUGAGACGCAUCAUACGCUUCCUAGGCGUCUACACCUUCGGCGUGUUCACCACCACCAUCUUUGCCAAUGCCGGGCAGGUAGUGACAGGAAACCAGACGCCUCACUUCCUGUCAGCGUGCAGACCAAACUACACGGCACUGGGCUGCCAUUCCAACCUGCAGUACAUCACCGAGCGCAAAGCCUGCACGGGAAACCCCCUCAUAGUAGCGUCUGCUCGGAAAUCGUUUCCCUCCAAAGACGCAGCCCUCAGUGUUUACUCCGCGGUGUAUACAGUGAUGUACGUGACGUUGGUGUUCAGAACUAAAGGGACGCGUCUGACCAAACCCACACUGAGCCUGACUCUGCUGUGUCUGGCCAUGCUGGUCGGUGUGGUCCGAGUGGCCGAGUACCGCAACCACUGGGCCGACGUCCUCGCCGGAUACUUCACCGGCGGAGCCAUCGCUGUCUUUCUGGUGAGAGCAUGCGAGGUGACGUGCGUGAUCAACAACUUCCAGCAGACCAAGCCCCCACCCCCUCCGGUGCGACCCCAGCGCCCUGAGUCUGUGCUGGGCAUGCCCAUGGUGGCGCUGCCCUGCGUAGAGAGUCCACUUGAAAAGUUAAGUGGCACUCAGGUAAGGGGUGGGAGUGGGUUAGUGGCAGGGCUGCACACAUAAGGGGGAUGGAUUACGCCCCACCCCGUCCUUCUGUGUUUGACCCAGUGGACCCUAAUGUGACCCACCCAGCCCUCCUUCUCCCCUUACUAGCAUGUCCGACCUGCACAACCCAAACACCAACCACAGCCAUCCACUGACGCUCUGGAGGAUUGAUCCGCUCCUUGCCUAUCCCGAAGAGACGUUACAUUACUGUUAUAAUAGAGUUAAAUGUUUAGGGCCGUUAGCUCGUUGAUCCCUCAGUGGGUUGAUGGGAGUUUUACGUCUAUAGAGCAGAUGUACCUUUACGACAAUGAAAAUGGACUGUGUAGCAUGAGGAACUUCAAAGACGGAAGGCCAUUAGAUGGUUCAUUCUGGGAAAAAUUACCGCAGUACUCCAAGGGGAUCUCCAUUCACUGAGAUCACAUGACCAUCAGCCUCAUCGGUUCCCCGUCCCCCCCGAUGUCCUCAUACCGUCUCGCUCCAUUUCCAGCGAAGUCUAGACCAGCCGUCCCAGCACGCGCGCCACUGCGCCGCCCACUCCGCGGGACGCUCCGCCGCUCUGCACCGCUCCUACUCCACGCAGGUCUAGAUUUCCUCACCUCCAACCCCUCAUCCUCCAUAUUCCUCCAUGCUGCCGAUAGGGCCUCCACAAACCGCUCAAACAAACCACGAGAAGCACUUUUUAGAGCGCCUGCUCGGAGAUCCCGAACGCCAGAAAACACAGGUAGGCGUCUCUCUCUCUCUUGCCGGAGAGUUUGUUUGGACCGUGGGUGGAGGAUUCGAACCCGUUCAGACCUCUCAAAAACCAACCCGACCUACUUCCUGGGGAACCGAUGAAGAAGACUUGAUCAGCUUUUUGGCUGAAAUCCAGAACUUUGGCUGCAAUUUUUACUGCAGUGUGUAAAUACAUGCACUGUUUUUUGUUUUGUUUUUUGGCUUUUUUGGUUAAAAGCAUGUCUGUUUUGUUUAUUUUUGAUCAUUAGGGAGACAAUUAGUCCUCUUUUUCCGAGACAUGUCCUGGAUUGUCAGCGUUUUGGCUUUGUUUUCCUUUUUCCUUUCAUACUUGCUGAAGGUAAUGACUGAAACGUUUUUUUGACCAAUAGCAUGCAGGCAUUGUGUAAAAUCGACCAAUUUUGGAGCGCAAUAAGGCGGUAUCUACAGAGAACAUCAAAGUAAUGCGAAUACAUGCACAUAUAAUGUAUGACAAUCUACCAAUAGGAAAACAAAUUCAAAUCCCGGACAUUUUAGGCAAUCUAGAAAUCCCAGCUAGGACAUUUCUAAGAAAAAGAGGAUGCGUGGUCACCCUAGCACUGAUGGAGUUUACAAGUUACGUUUUUAUAGUGUAUGGUUUUGAAAAAUGACAUACAUAGGUAUCUAUUGGUUUGUUUUUGAGUCAUAUUCACUAUGCGCUUGGGACAGUCUCAUCAGCAUCAGCCAUCUGGACGUCCUGUAAGUGCACAUCAAGGUAAAAACCUCUAAACUUGGGAGACGUUCUUGAUACCAGCUCUUAUAAUAACGUUGGGAUGCAUUGCUAGGAAUUGACAGACAGAACGACAAGGCACAUGAGCAUCAACCGCAGCGCUCCUUUUUCAUUUUUAAUGUCCGGUUCGUGCUCACAAGGAUUUUUCCACCAGCUAGAUGUAAUGCACAGUCUAACACGAAGGCCUUUUCAUUACCGUGUCCUCAGACACAACACGAGGCUUUCAGACAUGAGACAUUCUUACAGUUUUUCAUCAAGGUAUGGAUUAGGUUUUUCAUUUCUCAGGAGAGAAAAGCAAGAAAAGUGCCCCAUGACGUCAACAGAGCCGUAAAAACAGCAUCAGUGUUGUUGUUGUUGGUGUUUCUGUGAAGGAAGUUUUAAAAACGUGGUAACUGGAGGUCAGCUAGUUUCUUUCCUGUAUAGUGAGCAGCCUUUUCACAUUCAUAUCACCGUGUGUUACUAACAAGGUUGUGCGCCAUUCAGAAUUGAAUUACGGUUUGAGUCCUGAAUUUAAAGUUGAGGUGGCAAACUAAUAUAUAAUCAUUUGAAUGUAAGGAAACGGAAUGGAGGUUUGUUGAAAUGUUAAUUCCGUACAAUAACAUUUCACUAGAAAUGAAAGGUUUGGGAAGUUGUUGUAGUCUGCUUUGUUUAACUCUACAAACACUUUUUAAAUUGGCAUUUUGUUUAUUUUAUUAGCACUUUUGUAAAUAAAAAGCUCAUUUUUUUAUAAUAUUCUAAUAUAUUUAAGGAGUGUACAGUUACAGUUAACCUUUUAUUAGAUUGUUCUUAGUUAUCUAGAUAUGAAAUUUCAUAUAGGCAUAGAUAGAUAGAUAGAUAGAUAGAUAGAUAGAUAGAUAGAUUUUUUCUUACUGUCAUUCCAAUUGAAUUUCCCGUUGGAUGUGGUCAAUACAACUCAAAAUCACAUUUGUAAAUGAAAAACAGAACCAAUUCUGAAUUUUGCACAACCCUGUUUAGCAAGUUUGUAAAAACCUUUGGCUGUCGUUUUAUAAUGAUGAUGUUAUGAAAUGUCCUUGCAAUGAAGUCAUUCCUGCAAACAGCACAGGGUGCCUGGUAAUGCAGUUUGAUUUGAUGACCAGUUAAUAUUAAUCAACUGCCUGGGUGAAAGAAGUAGUAGAGUGAGGGUUUACGUUUUGAUGAACAAAUAAGACAAAAACAUGCCGUGAUGAAUCAUUCACAAGAAAGGAAGGAAAGUGUAUUAAAGGAAGAAAUCACAAUUUCUGAAAUGUUACUCACCCUCAGGCCAUCUAAUAUGUAGAUGGGAGAUGUUUAUUUCUAUGUCAGAACAGAAUUUGGCGUUCGUUUACCAAUAGACCCUCUGCAGUGAAUGGGUGCCGUCAGAAUCGGCGUCCAAACAGCUGAUAAAAACAUCACACUAAUCCACAAGUAACCCAUAAAAGAUCAUUAAUGUUUUGUGAACUGGAAAUCAGCGUGUUUGUAAGAAGUAGAUUAACUUGAAACUGUUAAAACCAGUCCGCUACCAAAAAAUCAGAAUGAGGAGAAAAAUCUGCACAGAUUAAGUACAAGAGAAAACAAAACAUUUCUAAACAAUUAUAUCGGUGGAUUUUGAUGUGAGGGACAGCAAGUUCUCCUUUUGUUAUAGACUCAAACUUUGAUGAGUUAGCUUCAAACGCACAGCUUUUCACUCAACAAGGCAUUAACUGAUGGUCAGGAGCGGUGUGGAUUAUAGUGAUGUUCUUAUCAGCUGUUUGGACUCACGGCACCCAUUCACUGCAGAGGAUAAAAUGCUGCGGAAAUUAAACGCUAAAUUUCUCCAGAUCUGUUGCAAUGAAGAAACAAAGUCAUCUACAUCUUGGAUGAGUGAGUGAACUUUCGCCAAACUUUCUUUUCUGCGUAAACUACUACUUUAAGAAAUUUAAAUGGGGAAUUUUGGAGCCAACGGUUAAGUGUCUCAGGCAGCUAAAAUAAAGUCACGCUCACAGAUUGCUCGAUCAAACGUAAUAGGUUUUUUACACAGAGGAUGUUCAUGAGUUGGUGUAUGUGCUGUUGUACCAUACGUAAACCAAGUGUUGUGCACUUCAUCAUUUUAUCCAGCUAUGUUAAAAUUGCCAAUGUUUUUUUUUAUUAUUUUUUAGAAUGUUUGCUUUAAAUCACUUUUCCUUUCCAAGAUAGUGUUUACUUAGACUAAUUGUUUGGUACUGUAAGUAAGCCGUGUAUACAAAUUGUGCGUACUUUAAUCAGAUGGGUGUAAACGCUCCACCUUGUUGCACUCCAAACGGAUGAAAAUUAAUGUUUGUAACAUUAGCUGUGACAUCUAAUCUGUCUGAUGCCCCCCAGCCUUUACAUCCCGGCACCAGGUCCAGCCUCUGCCACAUUCUGUGCUACGUACAGUUACUGUCUCUGUUGUAAGAGCACCAUCUACACAUGCUAAGAAACACCUUCACACCCUUGAAGCGCUCCAUUAAAGGUGAAGUCUGCGAUUUUUAAUUUUUUUUUACCACUAGGGAAUGGAAUAAGAGCAGCAAUGACUGUUUUCAAACAGGUUUCCCAAACCUCUGCUAUUGGCCGGACGAAUGCAAAGCCCCGCCCCCAAACUCAUGCUAUUGGUCGAGGCAAUGCUGCUGGUUUUAGGCUGGUGAGGAUUCUGAACGAAUCCGAGCCAGAAAGAGUCACAGCCGUACAGUAUUUGCACGUUUUGGACGAAUCGAGCCGCAAAUUAAUUAUUGGUAAUUGUUGAGACUGAAAGAAAUUACAUGCUUCACCUUUAAAAAUCUUUUAUCUGUAGCUCUCUUAUUCCUUCUUUCAUACACCCAAAUGAAAAGAUAUUUGUACAGUUUUGCAAACAAGUCUUUUUGUAUUAAAAAAAGAAAAAAAAUGACAAGAGUUUUGCACACCAUUCCUGUGCACCGGAUUAAUUUGUUACAUUGGUGAUUUUUAUUUAUAUACACCCAAUGCGUCAUUGAUCUGUGUUUUGGGUAAUUGAAUAAAGUAAAAGCGUGACAUGC